rnacentral:ncRNA from 2 species
UUCUUAUCAAGAGCAGGCGGAGGGACUAGCCCGAUGAAGCCCGGCAACCGGCGUUAAAUACGCACGGUGCUAAUUCUUGCGGAAACCAUUAAGUUUCUGAGAGAUGAGGA